UAGAAAGCAAAGCUUACGCAAACGGAAUCCCAAAAUCAGAGGGAAUGGCUACUUCAUAUUAUUCAUUCCUCUCCACAAACACCUCUUCUCCUGCUCUCAUUCUCCCUCUCCGAUCUCCUUCCCGUUCCACUCUUUCACUUUCCAGAACCUUCCUUCACCGUAACCUCCAUUCCGCCGCCUCCGCCGUCGUCGUCGCCGCUUCCAGCACUAACCGAUCACCGGAAUCCGUAUCUGUCAACAAAUUCCGUGACUCUUUAGUUGUAAUCCUAACUUCUGUAGCGAUUUCUGUAUCUAUAUUUGUUUCCGAUAUCGAUUCUGCUUCCGGUUUCGUUGUCACUCCGUCUAAGAAGUUGCAGACGGAUGAACUUGCUACUGUUCGUCUUUUCCAGGAGAAUACUCCUUCUGUUGUUUAUAUUACUAACUUAGCUGCUAGGCAGGAUGCAUUUACUUUGGAUGUAUUGGAGGUACCUCAAGGGUCUGGAUCAGGUUUUGUUUGGGAUAAAAAAGGUCAUGUUGUCACCAAUUAUCAUGUUAUUCGAGGUGCGUCUGAUCUCAGGGUAACUCUUGCUGAUCAGAGUACAUAUGAUGCAAAAGUUGUUGGGUUUGACCAAGAUAAGGAUGUUGCAGUAUUGCGUAUCGACGCUCCAAAAGAUAAAUUGAGACCAAUACCAGUUGGUGUGUCCGCAGACUUGCUUGUUGGGCAAAAAGUGUUUGCGAUAGGAAACCCUUUUGGUCUUGAUCACACGCUUACAACUGGUGUCAUCAGUGGGCUAAGGAGAGAAAUAAGCUCUGCUGCAACUGGCCGUCCAAUCCAAGAUGUUAUCCAGACAGAUGCUGCUAUUAACCCUGGAAAUAGCGGAGGGCCACUUCUUGAUAGCUCAGGAAACCUUAUUGGGAUAAACACAGCCAUAUACUCUCCAUCAGGGGCAUCAUCUGGCGUUGGAUUUUCCAUUCCAGUUGACACAGUUGGUGGAAUUGUUGACCAGUUGGUGCAAUUUGGAAAAGUUACUAGACCUAUUCUAGGAAUUAAGUUUGCGCCUGAUCAGUCGGUGGAGCAACUUGGAGUCAGUGGAGUGCUGGUCUUAGAUGCUCCUUCUAAUGGUCCAGCUGGAAAAGCGGGUCUUCUAUCCACAAAAAGGGAUGCUUAUGGACGGCUCAUACUGGGUGACAUUAUUACAUCUGUAAAUGGAAAAAAGGUCGCUAAUGGCAGCGAUUUGUACAGAAUUCUUGAUCAAUGUAAAGUGGGUGAAACGGUCACUGUGGAGGUCUUGCGUGGCGACCAGGUAGAGAAAAUUCCUGUGGUACUUGAGCCAAAGCCCGACGAAUCUUAAUUUCUCAAAGUGUGAGAAAUCAGGUCCUUUAAUGCGUAGAAUCUGAGUGUUGGUACCUAAUUUCAAGGAAAAAAGUAGAGGCAUGUGUCAGAUCUAUUCAGUAGGACAACUUUUCCAGAUAAUACACAAUUCUUCUAUUGAUCAGUGAUCAGAUCAACAAAAGUCUAUCUUGUGUUAUUUAUAUUUGUAGAAUACCAUCUAUUUUCUGAAUGAAUAUUAGACGUCAAGGAGCUUUGUUCCAGCCUCUCAAGAAGUCUGAUCAGAGUGUACAGCUCACUGUCUAAAACUGGUAUGCAUAUCAGACAAGUUUAACAGUUCUACCUUGUGAUUUAGUUACAUCUCUAUCAAAACCAAAUUCUCAAGCGUUGUUUUUAGCUGAUUGAACUAAUUAAUAUAAAUAUUAAUUAUAUGUUUACGAAUAA